UGGGAACCUUCCCUAUGGUUCGGAAUAGCUCAGGGAAACUUGGGGUAAUACCGGAUAAGCCCUUCGGGGGAAAGAUUUAUCGCCAUUGGAUGGGCCCGCGUCGGAUCAGCUAGUUGGUGAGGUAACGGCUCACCAAGGCAACGACGGGUAGCUGGUCUGAGAGGAUGGCCAGCCACAUUGGGACUGAGACACGGCCCAGACUCCUACGGGAGGCAG
rnacentral:rRNA from 1 species